rnacentral:rRNA from 1 species
AGAGUUUGAUCCUGGCUCAGGAUGAACGCUGGCGGCGUGCUUAACACAUGCAAGUCGAGCGAGAAAUCGCGGAAGGAAGCUUCGGUAGAAUUCCGUGAUGGAAAGCGGCGGACGGGUGAGUAACGCGUGGGAAACCUGCCCUUGACAGGGGGACAGCCGAGGGAAACUUCGAUUAAUACCCCAUAACGCAGAGAGACCGCAUGGUCAUUCUGCCAAAGAAUUAUCGGUCAGGGAUGGUCCCGCGUCUGAUUAGCUGGUUGGUGAGGCAGCGGCUCACCAAGGCGACGAUCAGUAGCCGGCCUGAGAGGGUGAACGGCCACAUUGGAACUGAGACACGGUCCAGACUCCUACGGGAGGCAGCAGUGGGGAAUAUUGCACAAUGGGCGCAAGCCUGAUGCAGCAACGCCGCGUGAAGGAGGAAGGCCUUCGGGUCGUAAACUUCUGUCCAAAGGGAAGAAGAAUGACGGUACCUUUGGAGGAAGCCCCGGCUAACUACGUGCCAGCAGCCGCGGUAACACGUAGGGGGCGAGCGUUAUCCGGAAUUACUGGGCGUAAAGAGUGCGUAGGUGGCUUUGCAAGCGUAGGGUAUAAGGCGACAGCCCAACUGUCGUUGGCCCCGCGAACUGUAAGGCUUGAGUACAGGAGGGGAAGGCGGAAUUCCUAGUGUAGCGGUGAAAUGCGUAGAUAUUAGGAGGAACACCAGUGGCGAAGGCGGCCUUCUGGACUGUAACUGACACUGAGGCACGAAAGCGUGGGUAGCAAACAGGAUUAGAUACCCUGGUAGUCCACGCCGUAAACGAUGAGCACUAGGUGUCGGGCUCGCAAGAGUUCGGUGCCGGAGCAAACGCAUUAAGUGCUCCGCCUGGGGAGUACGCACGCAAGUGUGAAACUCAAAGGAAUUGACGGGGACCCGCACAAGCGUCCCGCAACGAGCGCAACCCUUGCCAUUAGUUGCCAUCAUUGAGUUGGGCACUCUAGCGGAGCAUGUGGUUUAAUUCGAAGCAACGCGAAGAACCUUACCAGGGCUUGACAUCCCUCUGAAAGGUCGGGUAAUGCCGACCCCCUCUUCGGAGCAGAGGAGACAGGUGGUGCAUGGUUGUCGUCAGCUCGUGUCGUGAGAUGUUGGGUUAAGUCCCGCAACGAGCGCAACCCUUGCCAUUAGUUGCCAUCAUUGAGUUGGGCACUCUAGUGGGACUGCCGGGGACAACCCGGAGGAAGGCGGGGAUGACGUCAAAUCAUCAUGCCCCUUAUGUCCUGGGCGACACACGUGCUACAAUGGCCGUCACAGAGGGAGGCGAAGGCGCGAGCCGGAGCGAAACCCUAAAGGCGGUCCCAGUUCGGACUGCAGGCUGAAACCCGCCUGCACGAAGCCGGAGUUGCUAGUAAUCGCGGAUCAGAAUGCCGCGGUGAAUGCGUUCCCGGGUCUUGUACACACCGCCCGUCACACCAUGGAAGCCGGGGGUGCCCGAAGUCGGUCGAAGAGGCUGCCUAAGGCAAAACCGGUGACUGGGGUGAAGUCGUAACAAGGUAGCCGUAUCGGAAGGUGCGGCUGGAUCACCUCCUU